rnacentral:rRNA from 1 species
AGUGAACGCUGGCGGUAGGCCUAACACAUGCAAGUCGAACGGCAGCACAGGAGAGCUUGCUCUCUGGGUGGCGAGUGGCGGACGGGUGAGGAAUACAUCGGAAUCUGCCCAGUCGUGGGGGAUAACGUAGGGAAACUUACGCUAAUACCGCAUACGACCUUCGGGUGAAAGAGGGGGAUCGCAAGACCUCCCGCGAUUGGAUGAGCCGAUGUCGGAUUAGCUAGUUGGCGGGGUAAUGGCCCACCAAGGCGACGAUCCGUAGCUGGUCUGAGAGGAUGAUCAGCCACACUGGAACUGAGACACGGUCCAGACUCCUACGGGAGGCAGCAGUGGGGAAUAUUGGACAAUGGGCGCAAGCCUGAUCCAGCCAUACCGCGUGGGUGAAGAAGGCCUUCGGGUUGUAAAGCCCUUUUGUUGGGAAAGAAAUCUUUCAGGCUAAUACCCUGGGAGGAUGACGGUACCCAAAGAAUAAGCACCGGCUAACUUCGUG